AUUGAACGCUGGCGGCAUGCUUUACACAUGCAAGUCGAACGGCAGCACGGACUUCGGUCUGGUGGCGAGUGGCGAACGGGUGAGUAAUACAUCGGAACGUACCCAGUAAUGGGGGAUAACUAUCCGAAAGGAUAGCUAAUACCGCAUACGCCCUACGGGGGAAAGAGGGGGAUCGCAAGACCUCUUGUUAUUGGAGCGGCCGAUGGCUGAUUAGCUAGUUGGUGAGGUAAAGGCUCACCAAGGCGACGAUCAGUAGCGGGUCUUAGAGGACGAGCCGCCACACUGGAACUGAGACACGGUCCAGACGCCUACGGGAGGCAGCAGUGGGGAAUCUUGGACAAUGGGCGCAAGCCUGAUCCAGCAAUGCCGCGUGCGUGAAGAAGGCCUUCGGGUUGUAAAGCGCUUUUGUCAGGGAGCAAAUCCUUGUGGCUAAUACCCACCGGGGAUGAGAGUACCUGAAGAAUAAGGACCGGCUAACUACGUGCCAGCAGCCGCGGUAACAC
rnacentral:rRNA from 1 species